UUAUUUACAUGGCAGGGGAGAUAUCAUGAUUAUGAGUGUGAUUUUCCCAGAGUGAUACUUGUCCAUUGCACUCUGGAUGUGCUGAACCCCGGAGACUUGGCCCGAUGUGUGAAACUCAAUUGUGCAACUUGUGAUACUGAAGAACUGCAUUGAUAUAGUCUCCU